UGGAAAUUCAUCCGUUUUGAAGAGGGAUAUUUUGGUCUUUUUCUUACCCCAAUAUCCUAGCAAGUUUUACCCACCUAAGGUAAGGGGUCAAAAUAUAUCAAGUGAAUUUUCAUUCGAUCUAAAAACGUUUGAAAAGUUAUGGCAAAGUUCAAGAAAAAGGGAGAAAACUUCGAGCUUCAUCGAGUUUUGAGAAUUUUUGCUAAGAACUUGAUUCUUUCGAGAUGCGGGUAACCAGGAUCAAUAUCGAGCGCCUCGUUAAUCCAGGUUGAGCACUCAGAGUUUGUUGGUGAGCCUCCUUGCUUUCUAAAGACCCAUUUUAUUUUGUUUUCAGUAUUUAAGUUUUAGGAUGAUUGGGGGUAUUCUCCCAACAUCCCUCUUUGUAAUAGAGGCUUCAUAGAUAGACAAUUUAAUAAUUUAUC
rnacentral:lncRNA from 1 species